rnacentral:rRNA from 1 species
UACGGGGGGGGCUAGCGUUGUUCGGAAUUACUGGGCGUAAAGGGCGCGUAGGCGGCCUACUAAGUCGGACGUGAAAUCCCUCGGCUCAACCGGGGAACUGCGUCCGAUACUGGUGGGCUCGAAUCCGGGAGAGGGAUGUGGAAUUCCAGGUGUAGCGGUGAAAUGCGUAGAUAUCUGGAGGAACACCGGUGGCGAAGGCGGCAUCCUGGACCGGUAUUGACGCUGAUGCGCGAAAGCGUGGGGAGCAAACAGG